ensembl:snRNA U6 U6 spliceosomal RNA
GAGCCACUGCACCUAGCCACAUAUAUUGAAAUUGGAAUGUUACAGAGAAGAUUAGCAUGGCCACCAUGCAAGGAUGACAGGUAAAUUUGUGACCUUCCUUUUUUUUUU